rnacentral:lncRNA from 1 species
GUUGCGGAAAGGAUCGUUUCGAGAACUCCGAUAUGACUACAAGUAAAUUGACCGGAACGAAAAAAAUAAAGUGAACACAAGGAUUUACGUGGUUCGGCUUUAAUGCCUACGUCCACGGGCAGAGGCGAAAAGAAAUUUCACUAUAACAAGAUGAAGAUUACAAGUGUUUUACACUCAAGACACAACCCGAGAACCUCACAACUCUCAACCCCUAUAGAAAACCCGAAAGCUAAAAUCCUAGCUUUCAAAGAACAAGCUUUGCUCUCUCUUGGUUUGGGAUGAUCAAUAUGGCUAAUGAACCUCUCUAUUUAUAAGAGAGUUCAAGGACAUAAUUGUCCAAAACUUUGGCAAAGAUUUGUGGUUGAAAAUGGACACCAACAACCAUCCACUAAUCCACUACCACCAACAACCCACUACCAACAACAACAAUCCACUACCAAUUUUAAGCCAUUUCUUAACAAAUCUCCACCUUGGCUUGAAAUUUACCAAGCUGAACAUCAUAGUGAACUGGAUCACCUCUUCCAAACGCCUCUCUGGCGCUAAUCAAUCCCGAAUACCUAUCAAGUCCAAGCAAUGCUUGAACUUAUAUGCAGGGAUCACCUUAGUUAACAUAUCUGCAGGAUUCUUCUCGGUAGCAACCUUGCUGAUAACAAUGUCACCUUGCGUAACAUGUUCCCGAACAAAAUGAUAUCUGACAUCAAUGUGUUUGGUCCGUUCAUGAAACAUCUGAUUUUUAGUCAGAUGUAUGGCACUCUGGCUAUCGCAAAAUACAACAGUGAAAUCCUGUUGUAAACCCAAACUGCUUACUAGACCUUUCAUCCACAAUGCUUCUUUCACUGCUUCUGCUAACGCCAUAUAUUCCGCCUCAGUCGUAGAUAAGGCUACGGUAGACUGUAACACAGCUUUCCAACUAAUGGCUCCUCCAGAAUAAGUGAAAACAUAACCCGUCAGAGAUCUUCUUUUGUCCAGAUCUCCAGCAUAAUCAGAGUCCACAUAGCCCGUGACACUGCUAGUGCAGUCACUCUGAUCAUAUACCAAGCAUAAAUCUGCAGAACCUCUCAAGUACCUGAGAAUCCAUUUCACGGCCUGCCAGUGUUCCUUGCCAGGACAACUCAUGUAUCUGCUGACCACACUAACUGCAUGUGAAAUGUCUGGACGAGUGCAAACCAUUGCAUACAUCACGCUUCCAACUGCACUCGAGUAUGGAAUGUGAGACAUUUGCUGCUUUUCUUCAUCAGAUUGUGGUGACAACUCUGCAGAGAGUUUGAAAUGUGGUGCCAACGGAGUACUCACAGUUUUCGCUUUAUCCAUGCCGAAGCGUUGAAGAACCUUUUCAAUGUAGUUCUUCUGCGACACACGAAGCUUGCCCGCCUUGCGAUCUCUGUGAAUAUCCAUGCCCAAAAUUUUCUUGGCAGCACCCAGAUCCUUCAUCUCGAACUCACCACUCAACUGCGACUUUAACUUGUUGAUUUCCGACAUGUUUUUGGAAGCAAUUAACAUGUCAUCAACAUACAGCAACAAAUAAAUGUGCGAACCAUCUGAGAGCUUCCGAUGAUAGACACAAGCAUCAUAGUCACAUCUUGUGUAACCAUGCUGAAUCAUGAAGCUAUCAAACCGCUUGUACCACUGCCUUGGGGAUUGUUUCAAUCCAUAUAAAGACUUCUUUAAUAGACAGACAUGGUCUUCUUUACCAGGAACUGUAAAACCCUCUGGUUGACGCAUGUAGAUUGUUUCCUCGAGCUCACCAUGCAAGAACGCCGUUUUUACGUCAAGCUGCUCAAGUUCUAGAUCAGACUUGGCCACCAUGGCAAGUAAUACACGAAUGGAAGAAUGCUUUACGACUGGGGAGAAAACUUCAUUGUAGUCAAUCCCCUCUUUCUGAGUGAAGCCUUUAGCAACCAAUCGUGCCUUGAAUCUAGUUGCUUCAACCCCUAGGAUGCCUUCCUUUUUCUUGAAGACCCAUUUGCAACCAACUAUCUUCUGGUUACUUGGCGGCUUAACCAACUCCCAAGUAUGGUUCUUGUGAAGAGAUUCUAUCUCCUCACUCAUAGCAAUUGCCCACUGUGCCGACUCAUCACACGUGACAGCCUCAUUAUAACUGGAAGGUUCUAUACCAAUGGACUCCGCCACACUGAGCGCGAAAGACACCAGAUUAGCGUAACGCGGAUUUGGUUUGAUUUGUCUCUUCGUUCUUCCAGUGGCAAUGCUAUAUGGUUUUUCUUGAGGUGACUCAUCUUCAUCGGAAUCUUGCACCUCAACUUGAUCAUCCUGGACUGAAGUACCUUCCGUAGGAAUUGGAGCGUCCACCUGACACUCCACCUGCUUCUCAACACCGUGAUCUCCCAUUCUAUCUGACUCCUCCUUUUCCCGGGAAUUUGUGGUGGAUCGAAGCAUGGAUGACUCAUCAAAAGUCACAUCUCUGCUGAUGAUGAACUUGGACGAAACCGGAUCAGGACACCACAACCUGUAUCCUUUCACCCCUUGGCCGUAUCCAAGAAAUAUGCAUUUCUUCGCCCUCGGUUUGAGUUUUCCCUCAUUUACAUGAGCAUACGCAGGGCAGCCAAACACUCUUAAACCAGAGUAAUCAGCAGGAGAACCAGACCAUACUUCCUCAGGAGUCUUCAGCUCAAUAGCUGUUGACGGAGAUCUGUUAACCAAAUAACAAGCAGUAUUAACAGCUUCAGCCCAAAAUUCUUCACCGAGCCCAGCAUUUGAUCGCAUGCAACGAGCUCGCUCCAAGAGAGUUCUAUUCAUGCGUUCUGCAACUCCAUUUUGUUGUGGUGUUCGACGAACAGUGCGGUGUCUCACUAUUCCUUCAUUUUUGCAGAACUCAUUGAAUUCACCUGAGCAAAACUCCAAGCCAUUAUCCGUCCGGAAUCGCUUGAUCUUCUUUCCUGUUUGAUUUUCGAUCAAAGCUUUAAAUUGCUUGAAGUUGAUGAGAACCUCAUACUUGCUCUUCAGAAAAUACACCCAAACCUUUCUCGAGUAAUCAUCGAUAAAGGUAAGCAGAUAUCUGUAACCACCUUUAGAAAUUGUCGGAGAAGGCCCCCAAAGGUCAGAAUGGAAGUAAUACACUGUGCCUUUUGUCUUGUGAAUCCCAGUGCUGAACUUUACCCGAGUCUGCUUACCGAAGACGCAGUGCUCACAGAAAUUCAACUUUCCUGUACACUGCCCAGACAAUAAUCCUCGUUUGCUUAGCACCGAUAAGCCUCUCUCGCUCAUAUGCCCGAGCCGCAUAUGCCAUAACUUCGUGGUGUCAGAAUCUAGAUCAUCUGAUGAUGACACUCCCGCAACACCUGUAACCGAGGAACCAUCGAGGAAGUAAAGGCCCCGCUCCAAAUUACCACGUAUCACAGUCAAAGCACCCGAGAAUACCUUGAGAACUCCACCUUCAGCAGAGUACCGAAAGCCUUUCUUGUCCAACGUACUCAAAGAGAUCAAAUUUUUCUUCAUUUCUGGAAUGUGCCGAACAUCAGUUAGAGUUCUAACAAUACCGUCAAACAUCUUUAUACGAACUGUGCCAAUCCCCAUGACUUGACAUGCGUGGUCAUUUCCCAUUAGUACUGAACCAGAAUGCUUCUCGUAUGUUGAGAAUGCAUCUUUCGAAGUACUUAUAUGAAAUGUAGCUCCCGUAUCAAGAAUCCAUCUCCCACCAGCGUAAGAGUCGGAUACUGCAAGAACGAUCUCGGCAUCACUUGAAGAAUCUGCAUCAGCUACAUUCGCACGAUCAUUUUGUUGCUCCUGUGAUUCUGAUUUCUCCUUCCUUUUCGGACAAUCUACCUUCAUGUGCCCGUACUUCUUACAGUAGUAGCACUGUAUUCUCUUCUUGGACUGCGAUCUAGGAUGGCUUUUACUUGAACUUCCACCCUUUGCCUUGGAUCUUCCUCGAGCAACCAAGCCUUCGCCUUCAUUGUUUUCGACCACCUUACCAGUGAUUUUCUUCCUCAACUCACUGGAACUUAAGGCAUUUUUCACCUCCUCUAGAGUCAGGUCAUCACGACCGUACAUCAUUGUAUCAACAAAAUUCUCAUACGAGGGAGGCAAAGAACACAAAACAAUUAUUGCUUGGUCCUCAUCAUCGAUUUUGUUAUCGAUAUUAUUCAAAUCCAUGAUAAUGGAAUUGAAUUUAUCCAGGUGCUGGGAAACAGGUGUACCUUCCUCCAUCUUCAGGGCAUAGAGUCUUUGCUUGAGGUAGAGCCGGUUCGUCAAUGACUUCGUCAUGUACUUGCUCUCUAACCGGAGCCACAAACCGGACGCGGUUUUCUCAUCCGCUACUUCUCGUAGCACUUCAUCUCCUAGACAUAGCAGAAUAGCACUAUGUGCUCUUUCUAGCAUGUCAUCCUUUUGCUCUUCCGAAAGCGUGCUUGGUAAUUUAUCUUUACCAGACAAUGCUUUUAGCAAUCCUUGUUGAACCAGCACUGCCCGCAUCUUGAUGCGCCAUAAACUGAAACUAUUUUUCCCGGUAAAUUUCUCGACAUCAUACUUAGUCGAUGAAACACUUGUAGCCAUAAUUUGGAACCUUUGAAUGAAUGAUAAUAUUUUCUUCCUGAUGUGAAAGAUCAGACAAAGCUGCAGUCACAGGGCAAUUCAGAAAAUAUUAUCACUCCUUCAACUACGCUCUGAUACCAAUUUGUUGCGGAAAGGAUCGUUUCGAGAACUCCGAUAUGACUACAAGUAAAUUGACCGGAACGAAAAAAAUAAAGUGAACACAAGGAUUUACGUGGUUCGGCUUUAAUGCCUACGUCCACGGGCAGAGGCGAAAAGAAAUUUCACUAUAACAAGAUGAAGAUUACAAGUGUUUUACACUCAAGACACAACCCGAGAACCUCACAACUCUCAACCCCUAUAGAAAACCCGAAAGCUAAAAUCCUAGCUUUCAAAGAACAAGCUUUGCUCUCUCUUGGUUUGGGAUGAUCAAUAUGGCUAAUGAACCUCUCUAUUUAUAAGAGAGUUCAAGGACAUAAUUGUCCAAAACUUUGGCAAAGAUUUGUGGUUGAAAAUGGACACCAACAACCAUCCACUAAUCCACUACCACCAACAACCCACUACCAACAACAACAAUCCACUACCAAUUUUAAGCCAUUUCUUAAC